AUAUCAAUAAGCGGAGGAAAAGAAACUAACAAGGAUUCCCCUAGUAACGGCGAGUGAAGCGGGAUGAGCUCAAAUUUAAAAUCUGGCUGGUUUACUAGUCCGAGUUGUAGUUUAAAGAAGCGUUUUCGGUGGCAGCCUGGGUAUAAAUCCUUUGGAACAGGGUAUCGUAGAGGGUGAGAAUCCCGUCUUUGACUCAGUGCUAUGCUACUAUGUGAUACGUUUUCAAAGAGUCGAGUUGUUUGGGAAUGCAGCUCAAAAUGGGUGGUAAAUUUCAUCUAAAGCUAAAUAUUGGCGAGAGACCGAUAGCGCACAAGUAGAGUGAUCGAAAGAUGAAAAGCACUUUGGAAAGAGAGUCUAAACAGUAC
rnacentral:rRNA from 1 species